CACAUGCAAGUCGAACGAAGCACUUACGACAGAACUUUUCGGAGGGAAGAUGUUUGUGACUGAGUGGCGGACGGGUGAGUAACGCGUGGGUAACCUGCCUUGCAGAGGGGGACAACAGUUGGAAACGACUGCUAAUACCGCAUAAUAGAUCGAGACCGCAUGAUCAUGAUCUUAAAGAUUUAUCGCUGCAAUCUUGGUUACAGACGAGCAUGCGCUCCAUUAGCCAGUUGGCGGGGUAACGGCCCACCAAGGCGACGAUGGAUAGGGGUUCUGAGAGGAAGGUCCCCCACAUUGGAACUGAGACACGGUCCAAACUCCUACGGGAGGCAGCAGUGAGGAAUAUUGGUCAAUGGACGAGAGUCUGAACCAGCCAAGUAGCGUGCAGGAAGACGGCCCUAUGGGUUGUAAACUGCUUUUAUAAGGGAAUAAAGUGAGUCUCGUGAGACUUUUUGCAUGUACCUUAUGAAUAAGGACCGGCUAAUUCCGUG
rnacentral:rRNA from 1 species